rnacentral:rRNA from 1 species
GGAUUAGGCAUGCAAGUCGAACGAGGGAGUGUUCCGAAAGGGGCACAAACCGAGUGGCGUAAGGGUGAGUAAUGCAUUGAUAACCUACCUCCAAGAUGGGAAUAACAACGUUCCAAGCAAUUGGGGCUACCGAAAGGGUUGCUAAUACUCAAUAAAAUUAUUGUUGCUUCGGCAAUAAUAGUCAAAUAGGAGGAAUCGAAAGGUUUCGCUUGCUUGAAGAGGGGUCAAUGUCCUAUCAGCUAGUUGGUGGGGUAAUAGCCUACCAAGGCGAAGACGGGUAGCCGGCCUGAGAGGGUGGUCGGCCACACUGGGACUGAGAUACUGCCCAGACUCCUACGGGAGGCUGCAGUCGAGAAUCUUUCGCAAUGCCCGAAAGG